GGGAGCUUGCUCCCGUUAAUUAGCGGCGGACGGGUGAGUAACACGUGGGCAACCUACCUAUAAGACUGGGAUAACUUCGGGAAACCGGAGCUAAUACCGGAUGACACUGAGGAACUCCUGUUCCUUAGUUGAAAGAUGGCUUCGGCUAUCACUUAUAGAUGGGCCCGCGGCGCAUUAGCUAGUUGGUGAGGUAACGGCUCACCAAGGCGACGAUGCGUAGCCGACCUGAGAGGGUGAUCGGCCACACUGGGACUGAGACACGGCCCAGACUCCUACGGGAGGCAGCAGUAGGGAAUCUUCCGCAAUGGACGAAAGUCUGACGGAGCAACGCCGCGUGAGCGAUGAAGGCCUUCGGGUCGUAAAGCUCUGUUGUUAGGGAAGAACAAGUGCUAGUUAAAUAAGCUGGCACCUUGACGGUACCUAACCAGAAAGCCACGGCUAACUACGUGCCAGCAGCCGCGGUAAUACGUAGGUGGCAAGCGUUGUCCGGAAUUAUUGGGCGUAAAGCGCGCGCAGGCGGUUUCUUAAGUCUGAUGUGAAAGCCCCCGGCUCAACCGGGGAGGGUCAUUGGAAACUGGGAAACUUGAGUGCAGAAGAGGAAAGUGGAAUUCCAAGUGUAGCGGUGAAAUGCGUAGAGAUUUGGAGGAACACCAGUGGCGAAGGCGACUUUCUGGUCUGUAACUGACGCUGAGG
rnacentral:rRNA from 1 species